rnacentral:rRNA from 1 species
AGAGUUUGAUCCUGGCUCAGGACGAACGCUGGCGGCGUGCAUAACACAUGCAAGUCACGGGGGCCCGCAAGGGUAACCGGCGAACGGGUGCGUAACACGUGAGCAAUCUGCCGUCGUGUGGGGCAUAGCCGGCCUAACGGCCGGGUAAUUCCGCAUACGUUCUCGGAGAAGCAUUUCUCUGAGAGGAAACCCGCAAGGGG